GAUGAACGCUGGCGGCGUGCCUAAUACAUGCAAGUCGAGCGAACGGACGAGAAGCUUGCUUCUCUGAUGUUAGCGGCGGACGGGUGAGUAACACGUGGAUAACCUACCUAUAAGACUGGGAUAACUUCGGGAAACCGGAGCUAAUACCGGAUAAUAUUUUGAACCGCAUGGUUCAAAAGUGAAAUACGGUCUUGCUGUCACUUAUAGAUGGAUCCGCGCUGCAUUAGCUAGUUGGUAAGGUAACGGCUUACCAAGGCAACGAUGCAUAGCCGACCUGAGAGGGUGAUCGGCCACACUGGAACUGAGACACGGUCCAGACUCCUACGGGAGGCAGCAGUAGGGAAUCUUCCGCAAUGGGCGAAAGCCUGACGGAGCAACGCCGCGUGAGUGAUGAAGGUCUUCGGAUCGUAAAACUCUGUUAUUAGGGAAGAACAUAUGUGUAAGUAACUGUGCACAUCUUGACGGUACCUAAUCAGAAAGCCACGGCUAACUACGUGCCAGCAGCCGCGGUAAUACGUAGGUGGCAAGCGUUAUCCCGAAUUAUUGGGCGUAAAGCGCGCGUAGCGGUUUUUUAAGUCUGAUGUGAAAGCCCACGGCUCCACCGUGGAGGGUCAUUGGAAACUGGAAAACUUGAGUGCAGAAGAGGAAAGUGGAAUUCCAUGUGUAGCGGUGAAAUGCGCAGAGAUAUGGAGGAACACCAGUGGCGAAGGCGACUUUCUGGUCUGUAACUGACGCUGAUGUGCGAAAGCGUGGGGAUCAAACAGGAUUAGAUACCCUGGUAGUCCACGCCGUAAACGAUGAGUGCUAAGUGUUAGGGGGUUUCCGCCCCUUAGUGCUGCAGCUAACGCAUUAAGCACUCCGCCUGGGGAGUACGACCGCAAGGUUGAAACUCAAAGGAAUUGACGGGGACCCGCACAAGCGGUGGAGCAUGUGGUUUAAUUCGAAGCAACGCGAAGAACCUUACCAAAUCUUGACAUCCUUUGACAACUCUAGAGAUAGAGCCUUCUCCUUCGGGGGACAAAGUGACAGGUGGUGCAUGGUUGUCGUCAGCUCGUGUCGUGAGAUGUUGGGUUAAGUCCCGCAACGAGCGCAACCCUUAAGCUUAGUUGCCAUCAUUAAGUUGGGCACUCUAAGUUGACUGCCGGUGACAAACCGGAGGAAGGUGGGGAUGACGUCAAAUCAUCAUGCCCCUUAUGAUUUGGGCUACACACGUGCUACAAUGGACAAUACAAAGGGCAGCGAAACCGCGAGGUCAAGCAAAUCCCAUAAAGUUGUUCUCAGUUCGGAUUGUAGUCUGCAACUCGACUACAUGAAGCUGGAAUCGCUAGUAAUCGUAGAUCAGCAUGCUACGGUGAAUACGUUCCCGGGUCU
rnacentral:rRNA from 1 species